GUAUUUGGGGCCUCCCCAAAGGAACAGUAAGUUUCUCAAGUACGCUCGAUCUUGACUCCCAGCUGCUUGGUCGUGUUGUGGAUUUGGGCUAGAACAUCAGAGACCAUCUGUCUUCGUAUAGGGAGGCUGAGAUUUCCAGAGAAGUGCAUUAAUUUGAGGAAUCCAUUUACUGAGAGGCCAUGUAGCAGCAUAGCUAAGCGUGGAGAUUCUGAGGCAGAAAAGCCUGGGGAAUUUUUGCUGUGUCACUUACAAGCUGUGUGACCUUGGGUAAAUGUCUUCCUUCCCUAGUCUCAGUUUAAUCAUCUGUAAAAUGGACAAUAAUUAUG
rnacentral:lncRNA from 1 species